CCCCUCUCUGAACUGCUGAGUGAGCACUCAGAAGGGAGGGAAACAGCGACACAGAAGUCAGAAACUUGUGAAUGAGGAGCAACAAUGCAGGGACAGCACAAAGGAGACAGGAAAAGGAGAGGAUAGUGCAACCGGGCUAGAGGCAGGAAGUCAGAGUGAGGGAGAGACAGGAGUGGAGCAACAGGGAGUUCAGACUAGGGACACACAGCUGAGAGACUCUGAAGUCAGUGGACAGAGAACAGAACCAAAUCAGCCACAUCCAAAAUUCAUAGACCCUCAAGCUCUAGCCAACAGAACUUUACAUUUCCAAGGAAAGUGGUACAAGGAAUUUCCCUGGCUACAUUAUGAUGCAGUGAAAAAGGGCAUUUUGUGUUUUUAUUGCAUGGCAAUUUACCAGGACAAACUCACACCAUUUGGUGCAAAAUCCGAACCCGCCUUUAUCACUUCUGGAUUUAAAAAUUGGAAAAAAGCAUUCGAAAAAUUUAAAGCACAUGAAAAUAGUCACUCACAUCAUCAUGCUGUUUCUGUGACUGCACAAGAAAGUCAUCCUAUAAAUGCCCAAUUAUCCAGUGCUUUGGCAACUCAGCAAGGUGACAAUAGGCACUGUCUGGAGAAAAUUGUGAGCUCCAUAAAAUAUUUGGCACGCCAGGGACAAGCUUUGAGAGGGCAUGACGAUGAUGACAGCAAUUUGUAUCAACUGUUGAAAAAUCUGGCAGAAGAUGAUGCCCUUUUGGCUAAGUGGUUGCUGAGGUCUCAGAAAGAAUACCUAAGUCCACAGAUACAGAAUGAAAUCUUGUGUUCUAUGAGCAAUAGUAUUGUCAGUGAAAUAGCAGAUACAAUCAGAAACCUACCAAUUUUUGAGUUUGCAAUUAUUAUGGAUGGAACACAGGACAUUUCUGGGAAAGAACAAGAAAGCAUUUGUCUGCGAUACAUUGACAGUGACAUGAAGCCCCAUGAAGAGUUUAUUGGCUUGUACUCAGUUUCUGAAACAACAGGAAAAAGCCUUGCUGCUGUUGUUAAAGAUGUGCUGCUCAGAUUAAACUUACCAAUGAAUGGUUUACGAGGUCAAAUUUAUGAUGGAGCAGCCAAUAUGUCUGGGAAGCAUGCAGGUGCACAGGCACUGAUAAAGCAAGAGCAGCCACUGGCUCUUUUUGUUCAUUGUGGAGCACACUGCACUAAUUUAAUUGCACAGAAAGCUUGCUUAGCCUCAGUUCUGAUCAGAGACGCAUUGGAUUGAGUGAACCAGCUUGGAGUUCUUUUCUCUCAGUCAGGG